GGGGAAUAUUGCACAAUGGGCGAAAGCCUGAUGCAGCAACGCCGCGUGAGUGAUGAAGGUCUUCGGAUUGUAAAGCUCUGUCUUUUGGGACGAUAAUGACGGUACCAAAGGAGGAAGCCACGGCUAACUACGUGCCAGCAGCCGCGGUAAUACGUAGGUGGCGAGCGUUGUCCGGAUUUACUGGGCGUAAAGGGUGCGUAGGCGGAUGUUUAAGUGAGAUGUGAAAUACCCGGGCUUAACUUGGGUGCUGCAUUUCAAACUGGAUAUCUAGAGUGCAGGAGAGGGAAUGGAAUUGACUU
rnacentral:rRNA from 1 species